rnacentral:rRNA from 1 species
CGCUAGCUACAGGCUUAACACAUGCAAGUCGAGGUUCAGCAUGGUCUUAGCUUGCUAAGGCCGAUGGCGACCGGCGCACGGGUGAGUAACACGUAUCCAACCUGCCGUCUACUCUUGGACAGCCUUCUGAAAGGAAGAUUAAUACAAGAUGGCAUCAUGAGUCCGCAUGUUCACAUGAUUAAAGGUAUUCCGGUAGACGAUGGGGAUGCGUUCCAUUAGAUAGUAGGCGGGGUAACGGCCCACCUAGUCUUCGAUGGAUAGGGGUUCUGAGAGGAAGGUCCCCCACAUUGGAACUGAGACACGGUCCAAACUCCUACGGGAGGCAGCAGUGAGGAAUAUUGGUCAAUGGGCGAGAGCCUGAACCAGCCAAGUAGCGUGAAGGAUGACUGCCCUAUGGGUUGUAAACUUCUUUUAUAAAGGAAUAAAGUCGGGUAUGCAUACCCGUUUGCAUGUACUUUAUGAAUAAGGAUCGGCUAACUCCGUGCCAGCAGCCGCGGUAAUACGGAGGAUCCGAGCGUUAUCCGGAUUUAUUGGGUUUAAAGGGAGCGUAGAUGGAUGUUUAAGUCAGUUGUGAAAGUUUGCGGCUCAACCGUAAAAUUGCAGUUGAUACUGGAUAUCUUGAGUGCAGUUGAGGCAGGCGGAAUUCGUGGUGUAGCGGUGAAAUGCUUAGAUAUCACGAAGAACUCCGAUUGCGAAGGCAGCCUGCUAAGCUGCAACUGACAUUGAGGCUCGAAAGUGUGGGUAUCAAACAGGAUUAGAUACCCUGGUAGUCCACACGGUAAACGAUGAAUACUCGCUGUUUGCGAUAUACAGCAAGCGGCCAAGCGAAAGCGUUAAGUAUUCCACCUGGGGAGUACGCUGGCAACGGUGAAACUCAAAGGAAUUGACGGGGGCCCGCACAAGCGGAGGAACAUGUGGUUUAAUUCGAUGAUACGCGAGGAACCUUACCCGGGCUUAAAUUGCAGAUGAAUUACGGUGAAAGCCGUAAGCCGCAAGGCAUCUGUGAAGGUGCUGCAUGGUUGUCGUCAGCUCGUGCCGUGAGGUGUCGGCUUAAGUGCCAUAACGAGCGCAACCCUUGUUGUCAGUUACUAACAGGUCAUGCUGAGGACUCUGACAAGACUGCCAUCGUAAGAUGUGAGGAAGGUGGGGAUGACGUCAAAUCAGCACGGCCCUUACGUCCGGGGCUACACACGUGUUACAAUGGGGGGUACAGAGGGCCGCUACCACGCGAGUGGAUGCCAAUCCCCAAAACCUCUCUCAGUUCGGACUGGAGUCUGCAACCCGACUCCACGAAGCUGGAUUCGCUAGUAAUCGCGCAUCAGCCACGGCGCGGUGAAUACGUUCCCGGGCCUUGUACACACCGCCCGUCAAGCCAUGGGAGCCGGGGGUACCUGAAGUGCGUAACCGCGAGGAGCGCCCUAGGGUAAAACUGGUG